CCAUAGCUGUCCUGGAGAAGUCAGACAUCGUCCUCCAAGGAGCCGCAGCAAUGAAGGCAUUAGUGCUCACCCUCCUCUUCCUCCUUAUUGCAGCCAGUGAAGCCGAAUGAUAUUCCAGAUGUGAACUGGCUUCACUUCUGAAACGAAAGGGCAUGGAUGGAUAUCGCAAUAUCAGCUUGGAAGACUAUUUCUUAAAUGAUGAUAUCACAGAUGAUAUUGCUUGUGUUAAGAGAGUUGUGCGUGAUGCCAAUGGGAUGAAUGUCUGGUAUGGCUGGAGAGAAAACUGCCAUGGAAGAGAUCUGUCAAGAUGGACUCGGGGCUGCAACCUCUGAGACUGAUCUUCCUUCAAUUUCUGUUUCUCCUCGGAGGAGGAAAACGGUGCUAUUUCUUAUAUAACCAACAUUUAGCAACUUGGUUCUAUCCUUGUAUUCCACAGGUUGGGGUGCAUGGAUUUUUUUGCAUACAAAUAAUGAUUUUUAAAAGGUUUCUGGGUGAGGAAGAGGGAACGAGUCUGCUUUUUCAAAUCUUCAAAACAUGCUUCAAUGAAAUGUGUAUUGUGCAUUAUGCCUUUCCCCGUUUCAUUCUUUCUUUAAAUUUUCUUUCAUCCUUCAUGAUUCCUGCAAAAUUGAACAGGCUACAAUCAUUCCUCUGGCACAACAGAUCUAUGCAACCACAAAUGUUAUAGGUUGAAAGAUUAACUUCACCUGACAGAAAUCCUGAAGCACCUCUUCAUACAAUACUUGUAAACUUACUUGAAAUUGUUAUCUAUUUAUUUGUAUCCCACCCUUAUUAUUUUUACAAAUAACUCAAGACAGCACACAUAUCCAAUCAUUCUUCUGGCACAGCAGAUCUAUACAACCACAAAUGUUAUAGGUUCAACGAUUAACUUGAUGCAUCUCUUUAUAUAAUACUUGUAAACCUACUUGAAAUUGUUCUUUAUUUAUUUGUAUCCCAUCCUUAUUAUUUUUACAAAUAACUCAAGACAGCACACAUAUCCAAUGCA